AAGGUGAUAAGGGCUCUGGAAAAGAGCAGGUUGGGAGGAUCAGGACCUGGGAGGUGGAUUCAGUUUUACAUCAGGAGGUCAGAACAAGCUCCAUUAAGGAGCAGACUUUGAGAAAAGACUGGAAGGAGGUGAGGGAGUGACCAAGUGGACAUCUAGGGGAAUAGCUUUCUUGGCAAAGGUGAUAGCUGUGUAAUGCCCCUCGGGGGACCACGCCUGGUGUGUUCCAAGAGCAGGAGGCCAGGGUGGCUGGACAGAUGUGAGCACAGGCAAGAGAAGUAAGAGCUUCUGAGAUCAGAGAGGUAACAGGGAGCCAGAUCAGGUCCAUCCUGACCUACAGUCUCGGGAUGCCAGAACCCAAAGGGGCCUCGGACACUGUGUGGUAACCCACCGCUUGCCGGACAGGUCAGGUCAAGAAGCAUUCUUGAGCACCUUCCAGGGGACGUCAGUGCUGGUCCACAAAAGAUGAGUAAGACACCGGCCUUGCCCUCGAGGGAGUCCCUGACUAUAAGCAGACUGUAACAAGUGUUAUUCUAGAAGCACAGAGAGCUUUGGCAUCAGGGAGAGCCUCAGACCAGGAUCCUGGGCCUGGGAGAUGCAGAAGCUGUGAACGGGUGGAGGGGAGGAGUGCACCCAAGGGCACUUCCAGCUAUGAGUGGAGCUUGACGUCAAGAGCAACCACAGUCUUGCCAGCUGAAGGAACCAGAGGUCAGAGUUCAGGGCUGUUAGGUAGCUGGAAGUUUAAAAGGAAAAUCUGGAAGCAUGGGAAUUUAGGAGUGUGAGACUCAAAUUCACAAAAUAAAUUAAGUGCCCGAAUGGCAGCUAAACUAUUUAGAUAUGAGCAGGAGAUGCUCAUGGCCUGGCAAAAAAGCAGGAAUGCAGCAAACAGACAUCAGUUGUUGUCAAAUAGAAGAAUGCAAACCAGACCUGUGAAUCUUCUUUUCUUUAACUGAAUUCAUGCCCCAAUUGUGUGCUGCUUGAUAGUAAAAAGCUGGAGCCAGACAGGCUUGAAGUGUUAAAGAGCAGAGUCCAAAUGUGGCAGAGCAACUGCAAAAAUGGGGGAAUACCUAGAAGCAGGGAAACGAUGGAGAGGGUGAGGCCAUCGCCGCUCAAACCUUGGCUGAUGGCCCGUUUCCCAGGCUCGGGAAGUCCUACGGGCUAAAGAAGCAGCAGUGGCAAGUCGGAAGAACAGAUAUUGGCAGCUGCAAACUGCAAGGGAGAUGACUUUUUCAGCUCCAAUUUAAGCAAAUUAACUGCCCACUAGAACAAUUUUCAUCUUCAGAAGAAUGUGGCAGAAUCCAGAAAUGCUAUGACAUAUUGUUCACAAUGCUAGUUUUUAACCAAAAAUACUAGACAUGCAAAGAAAGAGUGAAGUGUGAUCUAUGUAAAGAAACGGUAAAGUGUGAUCCAUAUGCAGGAAAAAAGACCGUCAAUGGAAACUACCUUUACAAGGACCCAGAUGCAGGAUUUAGCAGAGAAAAAUAAAAAAUUAAGUGUUACAAAUAUGUUCAAAGAAUUGAAGGAAAUAUGCUACCAAUGAAAGAACACGAAGAGUAUCUCAAUGGAAAAAUGGAAAUUACAGAAGAAAUAAGAUCGAAGUUCUGAGUUUUAAAAUUACAAUAACUGAAAUUAAAAAUAUUUGAUUUGCUCAUAAGCGUAUUAGAUAUGAUGGAAGAAAGAGUUCGUUAACUAGGAGAUAGAUCAAUAAAAGUUGCUCCUUUUGAACAAAAUUAAGAUUGAACAUUGAAUGAAAAUGAACAGAAUCCCAGACCUGUGGGACAAUAUAAAUAAAUCCAAGGUAUGUGUAAUUGAAAUUCCAGAAAAAGAGGGGCAAAGAAGUGGAAAAUAUAUUUGAAGAAAUAAAAGUGAUUCCAAUUUGUCCAAAAUUUGAUGGAAAUCAUCAAUUUUAGAAUCAAGAAGCUCACAGAAAAUAACCACUAGUCACAUUAUAGUCAAACUGCUGAAAACCAAAAGUACAGGAAAAAUCUUGACAACAGCGGGAGAAAAAUAGUGUCUUAGCUACAGGGGAACAGUGAUGAUGACUAACUUUGCAGCAGAAGACAUUGGAAUGGUUAUUCAAAAUACCGAAGGAAAAAAAUGUCAAUUGAUAUCCAAUGAACUUGAAAUCUAAUGAUGUUCUCCUUCAAAAAUGGAAAAGUAAAGACAUUUUCAGAUAAACAAUAAUACAGAAAUUUGAGUCCAGCAUAUCUGUACGAGUAAUUCCAGAGACUUCUUCAGUCCAAAGGGAAAUGACUCAAGAGGACAACUCAGAUCAGCAAGAAGGAAAAAAGACACUGGAAAUGUCAAAAAUGUCAAUAAAUAUAAAAGAUCAAACAUAAUUGUGGUUUCCUUCUCUUGAGUGUUUAUAAAGACAUGGUACUAUAAAGCAAAAAUUAUAACACUAUGUUGGAG
rnacentral:lncRNA from 1 species